rnacentral:rRNA from 1 species
UACGUAGGGGGCAAGCGUUGUCCGGAUUUAUUGGGCGUAAAGAGCGUGUAGGCGGCCAGACAGGUCCGUUGUGAAAACUCGAGGCUCAACCUCGAGAUGUCGAUGGAAACCGUCUGGCUAGAGUCCGGAAGAGGAGUGUGGAAUUCCUGGUGUAGCAGUGAAAUGCGUAGAGAUCAUGAGGAAGACCAGUGGCGAAGGCGGGUCUCUGGACAGUUCCUGACACUGAGACACGAAGGCCAGGGGAGCAAACGGG